rnacentral:lncRNA from 10 species
AUCUCCUCCGGAUCACUCACCGAGCCCGUGGACAUCCCGUUGUCCCCCUUGCCCACACGCGUCCUCUUUCCUCCCCCCUGGCCAGUCUCGCUGUCUCCGCCUUCCGCUCCCUGGCGGAGGCGGAGGCCAGAGAGCGCUCCAAGGAAGACUAAAAACCCAGGCCGGGAAGCGCGGGGUGAGAAAGCGAGGUGGGUGGCGAGAGCGUGAGCGCCCCUCUGCUGACCCCGGGGAGCGUGGACUACGAGUUGGCGCCCAAGUCCAGAAUCCGCGCGCACCGCGGAAAAUAUUUGCAAUACCUGCCACGUCCAAGGUUCAGCUGAGGCCAAUGUAAAGCCAGUAUUAUAGGACACUUCUCAGACUGAGAGCCCAAUGUCGUUGGAAACCACUGGGCCACAGGAAAGGCAGGAUCAUGGAAUUCUAAAAUUGGAAGAAAUAUGUUUCUAGUCAUCUAGUAUAGCUUCCAAUCCAUAGGAUGAAUCCUCAUGGCUAAUGAAAGCCUGGAAGAACAUUAGAACCACCAUGAGGAGACUUCAAAUCAUCCCAACACCAGAGAACACUAAAUGACAGUGGACAGGAAGACAGUGUACCUUUUGCUC